UACGGAGGGGGCUAGCGUUGUUCGGAAUUACUGGGCGUAAAGCGCGCGUAGGCGGCUUUGUAAGUUAGAGGUGAAAGCCCGGAGCUCAACUCCGGAAUUGCCUUUAAGACUGCAUCGCUAGAAUCAUGGAGAGGUGAGUGGAAUUCCGAGUGUAGAGGUGAAAUUCGUAGAUAUUCGGAAGAACACCAGUGGCGAAGGCGACUUACUGGACACAUAUUGACGCUGAGGUGCGAAAGCGUGGGGAGCAAACAGGG
rnacentral:rRNA from 1 species